UUGAAGAGGAGUUUGAAGUUGGAAUGAGAUGACUCGAGACAAUGGUGUGGUGACCACCCGUGUGCCGUCAUCUUUAUGCAGAGAACACAGUGUGGAUCAAGGACAGCAGCAACGUCUAUUGACCUCGCACGUCUUGCCAGGAGGACGCUGCCUGCCUCUUCAUUUUGACUUGUCUGGGACUUCUGCCCUUCGUCUCCAGACGCACCCUUGGAUGGCCCCUGGGCAGUCUGCAGGGCAGCCAUGGGCUUCCCAGGCUGGCUGUUCCAAUGUGACCUCAUGUGCACCUCAUUGCUGUGUGAACUGAACCUCACGCCUUCUUCAGAUACAGGUCCCU